CACAAUCUGACUAAUCACUUGUAAAUUAGAUGGAUUAUUUUGUGGAUUAUCUUCUGUGGAUUAAGUCCUUCUGUCUACUUCUAGAAGAAACAUUUCUGGCAGUUUGUGAGGACGUUUGGACUUUAAAACGAGUUUACAGUGAAACUCUACUGCAGAUUGAAGCACAAAGAAGAUGGAUGGCUGUUACAGGCGAUCAAAGACAGAAUGAAAAAGGAAUGACACAGCUGGAUCAGGAAGGGGGAGUUCUUACUCGGAGCUUGAGCAGAGUCCCGGGUUUCGAGCCUCCUUCGCGGACAACAAGCCAAGUUCGUUUAACAUUUCCUGGCAGGGCUGAAUGGGCAGGUGAACUCGUGAAACAAAAACAAAACCUGAGAGACG
ensembl:lncRNA